UCUGAUCAUCUUCGUGGCCUCCUCUGGAGCCACUCCAACAGCUGGAAAGAGUCAGAAAUGUUACCACAGGGAUAACUGGCUUGUGGUGGCCAAACGUUCAUAGCGACAUUGCUUUUUGAUCCUUCGAUGUCAGUUCUUCCUCUCGUUGUGAAGCAAAAUUCAGCAAGCGUUGCAUUGUUCACCCACUAAUAGGAAAAGUUGGUUGGGUUCAGUUGAAGU
rnacentral:ncRNA from 1 species